rnacentral:lncRNA from 1 species
CAGUACCUGCCAUCUCUUCAAAUAUCGGCCACAGCAUAUGUAGGGGGCUACAUUGCCCGUGUGGUGAGUGAAAAAGUGAACUGUGAAAACUGUGUCUCUGUGUGUUCGAAGCCAGCCAGCAACCAGCCGCUCCUGCAGCUGACACGUCACCAGGACCGAGGUGGUUUGCUGUAUCCAUCUGACCAGCUCCUUUUUGUCCUUGAUACUUUGCGAGCUUUUGCAGACGGAUUUGAGAAUGGUUGUCUCCUUGUGUAUUAUGUGAUAUUUUAUUUUGUCAACAAAUAUUUUCAUUGCAAGCCAUUUUAUGCAGCGCUGUGAUAAAUAUUCUCUUAUGCAAUUUAUGAUAUUUUUUUCUUGUCAGUAAAUGUUUUAACCUUAGGCUAUUGUAUGCAUGGCUCUGAAAAAUAGUUUUGUGCAAUUUAUGAUCUUUUUUCUUGUCAGCAAAUGUCUCACUCUUAGGCCAAUGUAUGCAUGGUUGUGAAAUAUUGUUUCCUUGUGCAGUUAACGUUUCUUUAAUUGCCACCAAAUGUUUCACUAUUAGGCCAAUGGAUGUAAGGGUAUGAAAAUCAUUGUGUGUGUAAUUUUAUAUUUAUUUUUUUGUGCGCAAAUGUUUUAAUAGCGGGGCAGCAUAUGUACGGCUGCGAGAAAGGUUGCUUUCUUCCAAUAAAUUUCUUUUUUCCUUGUCA